rnacentral:lncRNA from 1 species
CCUAGGUAUAUACUGCUUUUCAUAGCACACACUUCUGAAAACUGGCACUUCGACUUCCCACCCACCCAAACAACAACUCAUCUUAUUCCGUUCUAUUCUUUAUCUUUCCAUGCUGUUGGCAGCCCGGUUAAAUUGACUUCACACCCCACUGGUGGGCAAGUUGCUGGUCAAGGCUGAGCCUUCCACUUAAAAAGUACAAUCUCCAGGCCCCAGUGAGGUGAAGGGGCUUAUCCAAAUUUAUAAUAUAUGUGAUUGGAAGGGCGUGGGUGUGUACGUGUGCACGUUUAUUGAAAAGAAAAACACUCAACUUAUUUCAUCCCUCCAAAUGUUCUCUUCCAAACCACACGCAUAUCAGCCUGUUUUGAAAGGUUUUUCGCAAGGCAGGUGUCAGGUAACACGUCAAUUUCACGACCAGCGAAAUAAACAAAGUCCUCCUUGUGCUGAGAAGGGAGGAGCUUGGGGUGGGGGGGGGGUUGUGGAGGGUUGAGGCCAUGACCCCUCAUAUGGGGGGAGCUACUUGGGAUCCCACACAGACGUCCUCGGGAGGGGUGGCCGUGAGCCUGGUCACAUCGUCCACCCCCCCCCCCCCCCCCCCCGUGUGGCAAGGUGUCUAUGCUGCCUCGGGAAGGACCCUUGCUGGACACUAGGAGGGUGGCCGAUGACAGCUUGCCCAUGUGAGCCCGGGAUGUGUGCUGCAUGUGGCUGACAGUUGUGCGGGAAGCUGUUCUGCCCUGAACCAGUUCAUCCCGGAGAAGCUCCCUGUGACGACUUUGAAAGUAGCAGAACCCGUUCCCCCUUUGGCAGGACUCUGCGCCUUUCGCUCACUUCAAGUCAAGACUAAUAUCCCUAAUGAUUUUGAAGGGCCAUAAACGAUUCCUUUAUGCCCGGCUGGGGGUUGGCCAGAGUUCCACUUGCAACCCACAACAUACACGCACGUUCCACAGAAAAAUAAAUACCGGCGUAACCAUGUGGACGCCGGGCCUCGGAACAUGGCCAUUUUCGGUCAGAUCUUGCCCAAGACUCCCUCACGCCAUCACUACAAAUUGACCUCACCUCAAAGCCACGCUGAUAAGGAAGACCCAGGAAUUUCUGGAGAUGUCUUUCAGUUACACAGCAUGAGGCUUUGUAACGGAGUUUCAUGUGCCCCCCACGGCCCACCCGGUCCCAUGCACAGCUUGCAGUAAAACAGGCAAACUACCUGGCUCUUCAGUGUUUUUAAAAGGAAACACUUGGGGCGCCUGGGUGGCGCAGUCGGUUGGGCGUCCGACUUCAGCCAGGUCACGAUCUCGCGGUCCGGGAGUUCGAGCCCCGCGUCAGGUUCUGGGCUGAUGGCUCGGAGCCUGGAGCCUGUUUCCAAUUCUGUGUCUCCCUCUCUCUCUGCCCCUCUUCCGUUCAUGCCCUGUCUCUCUCUGUCCCAAAAAUAAAUAAACGUUGAAAAAAAAAAAAAAAAAGGAA